GACUCUCGGCAACGGAUAUCUCGGCUCAUGCAUCGAUGAAGAACGUAGCAAAAUGCGAUACUUGGUGUGAAUUGCAGAAUCCCGUGAACCAUCGAGUUUUUGAACGCAAGUUGCGCCCGAAGCCUUUUGGCCGAGGGCACGUCUGCCUGGGCGUCACAC
rnacentral:rRNA from 1 species